GACGAACGCUGGCGGCGCGCCUAACACAUGCAAGUCGAACGGAGCUGAGAGAAGCUUGCUUUUCUUAGCUUAGUGGCGAACGGGUGAGUAACGCGUGAGUAACCCGCCCUGGAGUGGGGGACAACAGUUGGAAACGACUGCUAAUACCGCAUAAGCCCACGGUACCGCAUGGUACUGAGGGAAAAGGAUUUAUUCGCUUCAGGAUGGACUCGCGUCCAAUUAGCUAGUUGGUGAGGUAACGGCCCACCAAGGCGACGAUUGGUAGCCGGACUGAGAGGUUGAACGGCCACAUUGGGACUGAGACACGGCCCAGACUCCUACGGGAGGCAGCAGUGGGGGAUAUUGCACAAUGGGGGAAACCCUGAUGCAGCGACGCCGCGUGGAGGAAGAAGGUUUUCGGAUUGUAAACUCCUGUCGUUAGGGACGAUAAUGACGGUACCUAACAAGAAAGCACCGGCUAACUACGUGCCAGCCGCCGCCGUAA
rnacentral:rRNA from 1 species